GUGGGGAAUUUUGGACAAUGGGCGCAAGCCUGAUCCAGCAAUGCCGCGUGCAGGAAGAAGGCCUUCGGGUUGUAAACUGCUUUUGUACGGAACGAAACGGUCCGGGUUAAUACCCUGGGCUAAUGACGGUACCGUAAGAAUAAGCACCGGCUAACUACGUGCCAGCAGCCGCGGUAAUACGUAGGGUGCAAGCGUUAAUCGGAAUUACUGGGCGUAAAGCGUGCGCAGGCGGUUUUGUAAGACAGUGGUGAAAUCCCCGGGCUCAACCUGGGAACUGCCAUUGUGACUGCAAGGCUAGAGUGCGGCAGAGGGGGAUGGAAUUCCGCGUGUAGCAGUGAAAUGCGUAGAUAUGCGGAGGAACACCGAUGGCGAAGGCAAUCCCCUGGGCCUGCACUGACGCUCAUGCACGAAAGCGUGGGGAGCAAACAGGAUUAGAUACCCCGGUAGUCC
rnacentral:rRNA from 1 species